rnacentral:lncRNA from 1 species
GGCACUACAAGUGACAUGCCACUGGGCAGUGGCUGCUAUGGAAACAAGUCCUGAUGCAUGACAGAGGAGGAAAGCUAUCAGUCCUGUGGUUAAAGAGGGGACAUUUCCACUAGAUUUCCAAUUGCAUAUGGAAUCAAGAAAGAAGCAACUGGGAAUUACUUCACACAGCAAAUCUAAGGAAGAGACUGUUAAUUUGGCUUUGCCAGUUACUCCUUCUCAAGGCCCAUAAUUAAAUGUGAGUUUCUGGGCACUAAUGCAAAAGCCAGAUUUGCUCUGAGCCUGCGGGGCUUAUAAAUUGGUUGCUUUUGCAAACUGUUAUUGUUCCUUUAGGUCAAGAGGGGAAGAAUUAUUGACUUUGUUCAGUUGAAUUAAAUGCUCCCCUUGUGGUUUGAAAGAAGAAAUUUGCCUCCCUCACCCUCUAAGAUUACAUACAAAGGGAGAAUUGUUUUUGGGCAAGUUAGACUUGAUGAAAAAAUAUACAGUUCUACUGGAUUAUAGCACUGUGUGUUGCCUUAGAGUCACAUGACUCCAGUUUUGCCUUCUAUAUGAAGCCCAAGGCUUUCAUCUUUUUCUGAUACAGUGGGCUCUUCAGCUUUAAGCACUGACUUUUGUGUGCUAGUAUACAAUGCCUGUACACUCCCACAAAAAGCUCAAGAUGUCCUUACACGUAUUUGCUGUAGGUGUCCUUCAGCCGAUUUCAGUGCCUAGAAUCUAGAUGCUUUGCACCUAGUUUCACCUUUGCUCACAGAUGCUAGUG